AAGGAUUUCAACCGUUAUUUGUAUUAGCAGGCAGAACACCAGGCUCAACCACACCAGCUACCGUAACAUUUGAAUUCUCGUCAUUUAGUUCUCAUACUUUUUUACCGUUGCACUGACAUAGCCGAUUCGGGUAUGUGCCCUCAUGAUGAUGUCUCCACUUUCGAUACCGAUGCCGAAGCUAAACAUUUUCCGUCUUCGGUGAUUUUUGUCGUACUUUGCUCCGUCAGAGAUUUCAGGUUUUGCGGAUAGAAAUCCCAUUUUAAUUUCUUUUUCUUUUUGUCUUCUUUCGUCGUGAUGUAGUUUUCCUUACACACGUAUUUGUAGUUUUUGACAUUGGAGCUGUUAAAUUCGACUUUAGCAUUUGCACCGAAGGUUAGUUUCCCUUUGCUUAUUUUUAGAUCGACGUUGACCUCCUUUCUUUUCUUUUGGUCUUUGCUAAAUUUAUCCUUUAUUUUUGGCAUCUUUGUUUAUUUUUAUUUAUGCGAAAAUAAAAUACCAUCUAAUAUGAUCAUCGUAGGCAUAAGAGCAUGCGGAAAAACACAUUAUCGCCAACUUUUCGAAGGAAGAUUUCAUGAAAUUCAAUGAGUCUAUGAACCGUAUGUUAAACGGAAUAUUAUUUGUUU
rnacentral:lncRNA from 1 species